rnacentral:rRNA from 1 species
CAGUAGCCGCGGUAAUACGUAGGGGGCAAGCGUUGUCCGGAAUUAUUGGGCGUAAAGCGCGCGCAGGCGGUUUUUUAAGUCUGGUGUCUAAGUGCGGGGCUCAACCCCGUGACGCACUGGAAACUGGGAGACUUGAGUGCAGAAGAGGGGAGCGGAAUUCCACGUGUAGCGGUGAAAUGCGUAGAGAUGUGGAGGAACACCAGUGGCGAAGGCGACUCUCUGGUCUGUAACUGACGCUGAGGAGCGAAAGCGUGGGGAGCGAACAGGAUUAGAUACCCCUGUAGUCCCUGUCUCUUAUACA